rnacentral:pre_miRNA from 1 species
AAAGAGUGCAUUUUUAUACCUUUCGUGUUCAACGUUUAAAUGUCCAUCUUGUUUUAACAAUUUGAUGAUUAUUAGUUUUUAUUGUUGUUAGAUGAUAAAAUAUGAAUAGUAAUAUACGUGUGACUAUAUUUUUCUAAAAAAAUCAUAAACAUGCUAAAUAAAACGAACGGUAAAAUAUUAGACACGGAAAUGUUAACCAAGGCAGUAAUUAAU